rnacentral:rRNA from 1 species
UGGGGAAUAUUGGACAAUGGGCGCAAGCCUGAUCCAGCAAUGCCGCGUGUGUGAAGAAGGCCUUCGGGUUGUAAAGCACUUUUAUCAGGAGCGAAACGCUGUCGGCUAAUACCCGGCGGAACUGACGGUACCUGAGGAAUAAGCACCGGCUAACUUCGUGCCAGCAGCCGCGGUAAUACGAAGGGUGCAAGCGUUAAUCGGAAUUACUGGGCGUAAAGCGUGCGUAGGCGGUUUCUUAAGUCUGCUGUGAAAUCCCCGGGCUCAACCUGGGAAUGGCAGUGGAUACUGGGAGGCUAGAGUGUGUCAGAGGGUGGUGGAAUUCCCGGUGUAGCGGUGAAAUGCGUAGAGAUCGGGAGGAACAUCAGUGGCGAAGGCGGCCACCUGGGACAACACUGACGCUGAGGCACGAAAGCGUGGGGGAGCAAACAGGAUUAGGAUACCCUGGUAGUCCACGCCCUAAAGCGAUGCGAACUGGAUGUUGGUCUCAACUCGGAGAUCAGUGUCGAAGCUAACGCGUUAAGUUCGCCGCCUGGGGAGUACGGUCGCAAGACUGGAAACUUAAAUGAAUUG